rnacentral:tRNA from 1 species
CUUUCGAAUUACUUAUUUGUUUAAUUAUUAACGAUUGGAAUAGAAAUAAACAAUUUCGAAAUCUAAAUGAUGA